CAGUCAGCCCCCAGGACACAAGUGUCUUCAUAACAUACUCUGAGGGACGUCUCCACCUGUUGGAGCCUCAUGUAGCCCAACUCCAGCCUGUUGAUAAUGAAGAUGAAGACACUGUGUCUGCUGUCACAGAAAGGCCUACAGAGGUAUCAUAUUAGAUCAGCUUUACAUGUACAUGUGACAUUCUUGUAUGGAUUCAUAUUGACAUAUUAUCCUGUUUUAACAGAGCGUAACUGGACAGCAUGAAGAGGAUCCAUCAAACUCUGCAGCACCAAUGAACACAGUGAGAGUUUCAGUAAACAACACAGUUUAAUUCUGUACAAUUGUACAUGCAGAACAAUAUGACUUAAUGUCAUUCUUAUGGAUUUCCAGUUACCAGUUAUACAGAAUCCAUCUCCUUAAACAGAUUAAAACAGAUAAGGAAAUGGUGUACUUGGACCACCAGAUCAAAUCCAGAUACUUAAAUACAAGUUAGAGGUGGGUGUGCAGUC